AUGAUAUGUGUUGAAGUUUUCUUGAUAUUCAGAAGCUACGUUGCCGGGUCAAUUUUAGUGCUCUUAGAUUUACUCCUCAGAUUGAGGAGUUGUAAUAGUGACGAGGUAGAAGAAUUGACAAGGAUGAGAUAUGCUUAUCCUUGGUGGAAAAAAAUCAUUAAUUAUGAUUUGAAAAGUAAAGAAGUUGCAUGGGCCAUCUUUAAUGCUACAUCGGAUGGAUCUCCUGAACAACUCAAUUAUGGGAUCUUGGUAAAUCAAGGGUGUAUUAAACCUCUGCGUGAUCUUCUAACUAUGAACUGGCCAAAUGAACUUUAA